rnacentral:rRNA from 1 species
UAGGGAAUCUUCGGCAAUGGGGGGAACCCUGACCGAGCAACGCCGCGUGAGUGAAGAAGGUUUUCGGAUCGUAAAGCUCUGUUGUUAAGGAAGAACGAGUGUGAGAAUGGAAAGUUCAUACUGUGACGGUACUUAACCAGAAAGGGACGGCUAACUACGUGCCAGCAGCCGCGGUAAUACGUAGGUGGCAAGCGUUGUCCGGAUUUAUUGGGCGUAAAGCGAGCGCAGGCGGUCAAUUAAGUCUGAUGUGAAAGCCCCCGGCUCAACCGGGGAGGGUCAUUGGAAACUGGUUGACUUGAGUGCAGAAGGGGAGAGUGGAAUUCCAUGUGUAGCGGUGAAAUGCGUAGAUAUAUGGAGGAACACCGGUGGCGAAAGCGGCUCUCUGGUCUGUAACUGACGCUGAGGCUCGAAAGCGUGGGGAGCGAACAGG